GGGCUUCGGCCUCCUAGGCUUGCCUUGGCUAGUUGAUUGGAGUUUUUACAUUCUUGUCUAAUUUGGCUUUUGGCUUCAUUUGGAUUGGAGGAUGUUAACUAUGGAAAAGCACCUUACUCUUAAAUUGCAAGUGAAUAGUAAGCUUUCUGUAGAAAGAAUGGCGCAUUCAUGGGAAAUAAGGGAAGGUGGAGUGGUAGGUCAAGGGGAAGAAGGGGUAUUUUCGGAAUUUAAAACUAUUCUCUCUCUCUUGUGACCGAGGCAACUUUUCUUUGAUCAACAAAAUCUGUAAUUGAAGGACUAAAUAGUUCCAUUUUGAAUAAGCAAGAGACAUAUUUAUUGAGUGGACCAACUAAUAAAUUUUGAUUGAACUCAUGAACAAUAGUAAUUUACUCAUAUUUUUAUUCAUUACAUAUGUGAGGGUGUCAAACUUUGAACUUAUAUAUUUGUUUAUAUUUAU
rnacentral:misc_RNA from 1 species